UCUUCUCUUUUUUCCUCUAUUUUUUCCUGUAUUUUCUUUUUCUCUUUUUUCCUCUAUUUUCUUCUCUUUUUUCCUCUAUUUUCUUUUUCUAUUUUUUCCUCUAUUUUUCCUCUAUUUUCUUUUUUUUUCCUCUAUUUUUUCCUGUAUUUUCUUUUUUCUCUUUCUUUCCUCUAUUUUCUCUUCCUAUUUCCUCGCCUGGUUCUUCUCCAUCUCCUCCUCGUCUGUCUCUUCCCUCCGCCGUCUCCUCGGGCUCUCUCUCCCCUCAGGCUGCUGCCGCAUCUACCGCGUCCUUUCCGCGCCGCGGAGCCUCCGGAGCGCUCCCUCAGCCCGUGCCCGGAGCUCCGGAACGGGCCCUAAAGCGGCUUUAGGGGCUGCUCUAAAGAAUGAAAGCGCUUUAGGAGCGUUCUAGAAGCAAGAAACCAGCUUUAAGAGCUGCAGCGAGGAAGAAAUCUGCUUUAGGAGCUCUUCUUCCUCUGGGUGCUGGGAGCUCUCAAUGGGUGCUGGGUGCUCCCGCUGGGUGCU
rnacentral:lncRNA from 1 species